rnacentral:rRNA from 1 species
UCGAGAAUUUUUCUCAAUGGGGGAAACCCUGAAGGAGCGACGCCGCGUGGGGGAUGAAUGGCUUCGGCCCGUAAACCCCUGUCAUUCGGGACCAAAUGUUGUCCAUGAACAAUGGGCAGCUUGAUUGUACCGGAAGAGGAAGGGACGGCUAACUCUGUGCCAGCAGCCGCGGUAAUACAGAGGUCCCAAGCGUUGUUCGGAUUUACUGGGCGUAAAGGGUGCGUAGGCGGUGGGGUAAGUUUGAGGUGAA